GCCGGGUGCAGUGGUGAGUUCCUGUAGUCCCAGCUACGCGGGAGGCUAAGGUGAGAGGAUCGCUUGAGCCCAGGAGUUCUGGGCUGUAGUGCUCUAUGCCGAUCGGGUGUCUGCACUAAGUUCGGCAUCAAUGUGGUGACCUCCCAGGAGCGGGGGAUCACUAGGUUGCCUAAGGAGGAGUGAACUGGCCCAGGUCGGAAAUGGACCAAGUCAAAACUCCCGUGCUGAUCAGUAGUGGGAUCGUGCCUGUGAAUAGCCACUGCACUCCAGCCUGGGCAACAUGGCGAGACCCCGUCUCUA
ensembl:misc_RNA Metazoa_SRP Metazoan signal recognition particle RNA